CUUCUCCAAAGCCUCCUUCUCCAAGAGCUGAAGUUCCAAGAUCCCUUUCGCCAAAGCCUUCUUCUCCAAGAGCUGACCUUCCAAGAUCACUUUCGCCAAAGCCGAAGCCAUCAUCAGCCUCUGCCAUUGCUCCUCCUCUUAGGCCUGCUUCUACUCGAGUUCCUUCUCAGAGAAUUACCCCUCCCAGUGUUCCUUCUCCAAGACCAAGUUCACCAAGAGGUGCCUCCCCACAAGCCGUCUCUUCAAAGCCGCCUUCUCCAAGAGCAGAGCUACCAACAUUGGACACUCCAAGACCUCCUUCUCCAAGAGCUGCUUCUUCAAGGGCAGAGCCACCAACAUUGGACACUCCAAGACCUCCUUCCCCAAAAACUGCCUCUCCAAGGGCAGACCCACCAAGAUUCGAUGCUCCAAGACCCACCACGCCUAAACCUCCUUCUCCAAGAGCAGACACACCAAGAUUGGAUGCUCCAAGACCUACCACGCCUAAGCCUCCUUCUCCAAGAGCAGACGCACCAAGAUUGGAUGCUCCAAGACCCACUACGCCUAAGCCCUCUUCUCCAAGAGCGGUUUCGCCUAGGGGUGUGCAGCGACGAGAGGUUGUUUAUAGACCAGAGGCGACGCUUCCGGUCCAACAUG
rnacentral:lncRNA from 1 species